AUUGCUUCAAACCCACCGGAAAAUUCGACGCCUUUCUCAUACUCUCACUCUAUUUAUUUCUCAUUUACCAUGGGUUUAGGAAACAGUUUCAGGGUUUAGGAAACAGUUGUACUUCAUCAAAUUCUUCAAAAAGCUCUCGAAAGG